UCCCCCCAAAUCCCCCAAAUUUUCCCAUUUUCUCCUUUUUUUUCCCCAGGAUUACGCCCAGAGCCGUUUCCAGGCCUAUUUCCAGCACAAAUCCCGCUGCUCCUGAGGCACCCCCAAAUUUGGGGGGUCCCAGAUGAUUUUUGGGGUCCCCAAAUGAUUUUUGGGGGGUUCCAAAUGAUUUUUGGGGACCCCAAACAAUUUUUGGGGGGUCCUCAAAUGGUUUUUGGGGUGGCCCCAAACAAUUUUGGGGGUCCCAGAUGAUUUUUGGGGGUCCCAAACGAUUUUUGGGGGAUCCUCAAAUGGUUUUUGGGGUAGCCCCAAACGAUUUUGGGGGUCCCAGAUGAUUUUUGGGGUCCCAAAUGAUUUUUGGGGGGUCCCCCAACGGUUUUGGGGGGGUCCCAAACGAUUUUUUGGGGUCCCAAAUGAUUUUUGGGGGGUUCCAAAUGGUUUUUGGGGGGUCCCAAACGAUUUUUGGGGGUCCUCAAAUGCUUUUGGGGGGUCCCAAACGGUUUUUGGGGUCCCCAAACGGUUUUUGGGGUCCCCAAACUGUUUUUUUGGGGUCCCCAAACGGUUUUUGGGGGGGUGGGCGCCCCCCGCGCCCCCCCGGAUCGGCAGCAGAGGUGGGUGGGGACCCCAAGGUUGGGAUUUGGGGAGGGGGCGGCUCUGGGGACCCCCCAAAUCCGCACCCCCGGCCAGUAUUGGGGUUUUUGGGGUGGUUUUUGGGGUUUUUUGGGGGGGAUUUUGGGGUUUU
rnacentral:lncRNA from 1 species